AUAAAAAUUCUAAAUAGAUCUUAAGUAAAUCUUAGGUAAAUCUUUGUCAAAUCCUAAUUAAAUCCUAAUUAAAUCUUAAUCAAUUCUAAAUCCUAAAAAAACCCAAAUAAAAUCCUAAUAAAUUCUAAUCAAAUCCUAGAUCAAAUCCUAAAUCAAAUCUUAAUCAAAUCCUAAUCAAAUCUUAAAUCCUAACUAAAUCCUAUGUAAAUUCUAAAAAAAUUCUAAUAAAAUCACAAGUAUGCCAAUCCUAAUCAGAUCCUAAACCAAUCCUAAA
rnacentral:lncRNA from 1 species